GAGGCGGACACGCUGGCAGGUGGAACUUAGGACAGAGGAACCGGACGGUGACGUACACGUCAUCAUGGAGCCCACAGGUGCCAAGCUUGUAGCCCCGGUGAUGGCCCCUCCACACCUGUCUCGACACAGGCAGGAGACCCCCAGGUAAGCCACACGCCAGCCAGCCAGCCAGCGAGCUUGUGCUAUGUGCCCACCCCCUCUUCAGAAGAGGAAUCUUGAGGCUGAGAGAGGUCACCUGGCCCCAGGUGAAGAACACACAUGGGGGCUGGGGAGAUGGCAUAACGGUUGUGCAAAGAGAUGCUCAUGCCUGAGGCUUCAAGAUCCCAGGUUCAAUCCCCAGCACCACCAGAGGCCAGAGCAGACAGU